GGCUGGAGUGCAGUGCUGUGAUCAUAGCUCACUGCAGCCUUGACCUCCCAGGCUCAAACAAUCCUCCCACCUCAGCCUCCCAAGUAGCUGGGACCACAGGCUUACACCACCAAGCUUGGCUAAUUUUUUUUUUUUUUUAAGAGAUGGUGUUUUGCUAAGUUGCCCACACUGAUCUCAAAAUCCUUUUGUUUUUGCUUUGGAAUGGUCUGGAACUCCUGAGCUCAAGUGAUCCUCCCACCUUGGCCUCCCAAAGGCCUGGGAUUACACGUAUGAGCCACCGCACCAAGCCCAGGUUGAGCUUUUAAGGUAUUAAAGAUCCACUAGGUGAAAAAAAAGAGUGAAAGAUACAUAUGCCAUUUAAGGGAAGCACAGGAAAACUCCUAUUUUGUUUAUAUGUGAAUAGAGGCACAUAGAUGCCUAGAAAAGUGUCUGGGAGGGAAUGAAACCAGAUUGGCCACAAAAAUCACCUCUGGAAAAAGGAAAAGAAUGGGGACUUUCACUUUUUGCUUCAUAUGUUUCAUGUACCUUUUUUUUUUUUUUUUUUUUUUUGAGAUGGAGUUUCACUCUUAUUGCCCAGGCUGGGGUGCAGUGUGAGACCCCGUCUCAAACAAACAAAACAAAACAAAAUGAGGA
rnacentral:lncRNA from 1 species